GAUGAACGCUGGCGGCGUGCCUAAUACAUGCAAGUCGAGCGAACAGACGAGGAGCUUGCUCCUCAGACGUUAGCGGCGGACGGGUGAGUAACACGUGGAUAACCUACCUAUCAGACUGGGAUAACUUCGGGAAACCGGAGCUAAUACCGGAUAAUAUAUUGAACCGCAUGGUUCAAUAGUGAAAGACGGUUUUGCUGUCACUUAUAGAUGGAUCCGCGCCGCAUUAGCUAGUUGGUAAGGUAACGGCUUACCAAGGCGACGAUGCGUAGCCGACCUGAGAGGGUGAUCGGCCACACUGGAACUGAGACACGGUCCAGACUCCUACGGGAGGCAGCAGUAGGGAAUCUUCCGCAAUGGGCGAAAGCCUGACGGAGCAACGCCGCGUGAGUGAUGAAGGUCUUCGGAUCGUAAAACUCUGUUAUUAGGGAAGAACAAAUGUGUAAGUAACUAUGCACGUCUUGACGGUACCUAAUCAGAAAGCCACGGCUAACUACGUG
rnacentral:rRNA from 1 species